rnacentral:lncRNA from 1 species
CUGGAACAUUUUGGAUAAGUAGCUGGAAUUGUACAACACAGGCAGCAACGCCCUCCCGUCAGUGGGUGUUCAAGCAACAGACAAAUCCUUUCCUAAAGUAGACCCAAACAUCCUUUUAAUUUCAUAUGCAAGAUUAAAAGUUUUAUCAAAAAGUUCUGCUGGUAUACAGUACAGUACUACAUGGUGCGCAUUGGUCAAUAGGUCAAGAUAGGUUACACAGAACAGGUUGAAACUGGCCAUGGAGGAAGGAUUUCAAUAUAGUACAUCACUUUCCUGGGUCACCUUAAGUAGGCACAAACAGGACAAAGAGUUUUGAAUAAGUUGGAGAAAACAAUUCAGGAAGUACCUUUUUUUUCCUUCUCCAAAGUGCUUUCUGCUGUUUCAUGGCAACUGAACUAAACUCUAGUAUGCAAAGACUACAUCCCCUACGAAAGUAGGAGUACCAACCUUGAUCGUCUUGCUUGGUCUGUAUAGAGGCUUUGUAGUAUCAAGUGUUUAUGUAGAAGACUAAUCCAAAAGUAAUGUAACAGAUUUAUAUUGAGAUUUAGAGCUAACUGACUGAAAUUACACAUCCAUCCUUAGUUAGAACAAAUAAAUUAUAACCAACACAAAAUAAAUACAAAGUAAACAAUGUAUUGUCCCCAAAGAGUAAUACACAUACUACUAUGGUCCAAAGAGUAACAAUAUACUAUGGUCCAAAGGAGUAAUACUCUAUGGUCCAAGGAGUAAUACUACUAUGGUCCAAGGAGUAUACUACUAUGGUCCAAAGGAGUAAUACUACUAUGUUCCAAAGGAGUAAUACUACUAUGGUCCAAAGGAGUAAUACUACUAUGGUCCAAAGGAGUAAUACUACUAUGGUCCAAAGGAGUAUACUACUAUGGUCCAAGGAGUAAUACUACUAUGGUCCAAAGGUAUACUACUAUGGUCAAAGGAGUAAUACUACAUGCGUCCAAAGGAGUAAUACUACUACGUCCAAGGAGUAAUACUACAUCGGUCCAAAGGAGUAAUACUACUACGUCCAAAGGAGUAAUACUACAUACGGUCCAAAGGGUAAUCAUACUACAUAGUCCAAA